CCAGUUUGAUUCUGACUGAGAAAUUAACUUGUACCAACCAAAAUACAUGUAAAAUAUAAUACCCCCGCAAUAACUCUAAAUUAAAUGAAGGAAUAAAUGUAUUUAGAACACCCUAUAUACAACAGGGCGCCACAGUAAAUAACGCUUUUAAAUUUGAGAAAUCAAGAAAAGAGCAUGGUACAACAGGGCUGGCAAAAUUCGUGCCAGCUGCCGCGGUUAAACGAUAAGCCCAAGUUAAUAUAAUAUAAGCUAAAUAAAUGAUAAAUUAAACAAUAACAAAAGUCUAAUUUUUAAAAUAUUUGUACCCUAUUUAUCUAACUAAUAAUGAAAUCAUGAACUAAAACAUGGAUUAGAUACCCACCUAUUCAUGGACUAUAAUAAAAGUUGAAUAUUACGAACAACAGUUUAAAAUUCAAAGAUUUUGGCGGUGUCUUACAAAACCAGGGGAACCUGUCUCAUAACUCGAUAAUCCACGAAUACCAAACCUCCUCUAGAUAACCAGCAUGUGUACUGCCGUUGCAAGCACACCUUUAAAAGAAUAGUGUGCUAUAAUGAUUAUAUUAAACUCACAUACAUCAGGUCAAAGUGCAGCUAAUGAGAAGGUGACGAUGGGUUACAACCUUAAAAAAGAAUAUCAAUUAAAAGAUUAAAACCUAUUACGAAAGUGGACUUGGCCGUAACAAAUUAUAAAAUAAAGAAAUGAAUAUUAUCUAAGACAUGUACACAUCGCCCGUCACUCUACCCUAAAGGGUAGAUAAGUCGUAACAAAGUAGGUGUAAUGGAAAUUGCACCUGU
rnacentral:ncRNA from 1 species